GAAUUGUGAAGAUUGUAGAUAAUUACAUAUUUGAUAUGGAUUGAUGCCUCUAUUCUGUUAAGUAAAGGGAAAACUAAUUUGAUUAUCAAUGAAAUGAAGUUAUACAGUUCUGGAUUAAACUGAAAAAAUAUAUAACGAUUUUUUUUAAUAUUAACAUUUUAACUUAAUAAAUAAGUGAAAGAUUUCUAAACAAAAUGUUAUUGGACUCCCCAACAGUACUAAAAGGACUCCAACUGAUCGUAAACCAGGUAUGCUCACACACACAUUAAGAUACAUUAAAACGAAGCAGUUGGUUAAACUGAAUAAUAAUUUCUUUUUUGUUUCCCCAGAUCCUCAAAGCUAUCAUCAUCAUACUUUUGUGAUCAUGUGCACUGGCUUUGUUUUGGUCGCUAUCACCCUUGUUGCCUUUGUGUUUUAUACUUGGUCAAGGGAAAGGAGGAAGCCCAUCCCAAAUCAUGCAGCUGUCCAAGCACCAACUGCCAAAACCGGUGACUUUCACCUCUCAAAGGAAGAGAGCGGACUGCAGCUCAUCACCCAGAGUGACUCCACAGAGAGCAGCAGAUUCGACUCGUGUGACUCGAAGGAAGUGUCUGCUUUAUCAGUUUGAUACAACUUUGUCAGUUUCUAAGCUGAAAACAACUAAAAAGGCUCCGCAGGUGAGCUGAAGGAUUGCAUUAUAAACUGAUCUCUUUAGAGUGGAAUCUUCCCUGCAUCCCUAAAAUCUCUCUGACUCUGAAGAAGAGUCUUUUAGAUCCUGACAAUUAUCGAUCCACUCAGAUGAAAAUCAUGUUUUUAACAUGUUCUUAUUGCAUUUUUUCUCAUGAUGGAAGACUCAAACUUGUAUUUCUGAGUAUUUCUUUGUUUAAAUAGUUGUGAAUCAGGAUCAGAUGGAAAAAACGCAGUUUGAAAAAGAUUAUAGUUGGGAUGGAGGACCUACAAUAACACGCCAUAAGCUUCCUGCUUUGCUUUGUUCUUAAGUAGCCAUUUGUAGACAAAUAGAUCCAUGAACGUCUUUGUUUUCCUCGUCCGAGCUGGAAUCUGGAUCCAACCUGUAUGGCUCAAUACUGCCAAUAUUGUUCUCCAUUUUUGUUGCACUGAUAAGGUUGUGGUUAGAAGGGUCAGUAAGCUGGUGGGAAAGACUGUAAAAAAAAAAGGAUGAUGGGAAAUGAGACAUGGCUUACUCAACAGCAUCUCCUCGCCAACAACUCAGAGGUGAAUUCUAAUGAAUUACUGUCUCAGCAGAAACUAGGUCCUAGACGCCAACACUGUUUUUUUUUCAUUUUUUUCUAAAAUCGAGAUAAUUGAAAGACCACUCGGAACACUUAUUUUGUAAACAAACAGUAUUAUAGAAAAAUCUCAGAUCGGUUUUAGAUUUAACACAUGUACUGAAGUUGUCCAGGUCAGGUCUUAAUUACCUUGACCACUGGCAUAAAUGACCAAAAAAUAAAAAAAUAAAAACGCUAUAAGAAUCAAAUCAAACAUCAUGUUAUAUAAUUAUUUAUUUAUCUAUUUUUAAUAUAACUUAAUAAUUGCUUGUGAACAACUCUUUUACUCUGUUUGCUUCAGUUCAAAUAUGAAAUAAAUUGUAUAAAAUGUAUAUAUUUUAUUUUGAAGCAGAUCUCAUCGCAACAAUGUUUGAUUGUAAAUUUAUAAAGUUACAUAACAUAGCAGAAUACAUAUUUAACGCUCCUGAAAUGUACAGUCAAAAGUUUAAUUUUUAUUUUUCAUUGAAAGUAUUCAGUGUAAAAUGUUCUUGCAUUCUGAACAGAAAAUGAAGUUCAAAUAAACAACUGGAGAUACAAAAAAUAAAUCCUAUUCCUACUUUAAAUAAGAAUAAAUAAUAAUCAAAGUUACACAUUUUAAGAAAAAUGUGUCUUAAAAAAAUGACAACUAAAAAACGUUCCAGUUUCCUUAAAUCAAGGUCGCUUGUUGCUUGAAUAAGACUAUUCACCACCACAACUCUGUUGAAACAUGAUAAAGUAAAUAAAAAACAUUUUCCAUCAAAGAUAUUGCAUCAAAAAUUAUGUUUUACAGAUCAAAUGACUGAAAAUACUAAAGAUUUAUUAUCUUUUAACAGCUUACUACAUCCUAUUGAAAAGUUACUAGCAAGUUGGUCCUGGUCCGAUGAAAAGAGUGUUUUUCGUGUUUUCUUGUAGCAUUUUUUUUGGUAAUAUAGGACAUUUAUAAAGGAAACUGAUUGAUUGAAAUUAAAAUUUAAGUUCUAUUUCUGAGUGUUUAUUUAUUUAGAUUUUGGGGAAUCAAAAUCAGACAAAAAAAAAAUUAAGCUGGAAAAUACUUGUAGAUGUGACAUAGGACCUACAACUGUAGGCUACAAGCUUCCUGCUCCACUCCAUUCUGAUGCACCCACUUGCAGACAAAUAAAUCCGCGAACGUCUUCGUACAUGGAUCUAUUCAUAGAAGUGGCCCCAGGAUGGAGCCUUGGGGCACUCCACGUGUAAUUUCUGUUGGCUCAGAAAUGUUGGUUGUUUAGUCUUUAAUUUUUUAAAACUGGGUGUAUAACCCAAAAAGUUUCUGUGAUACACCAUCACGAGUUUAUUUCUAUAUUCUUAUUAUACUUUUGUUUGGAUGUACUUUUCUUUUAUUGUUGAAACAAACAAACAUUUUUAAGCUAUUUUUUAUUUUAUUUUAAAGCUUGAACCACUUUAGCUCCAACAUUGGUCGUCUAUUAUUUAUUAUGUUGCUUUCUGAUUAAAUGAUCAUUUUAGAUAGUGUUACAUUCUCUGUUUUGUUGUCAGUAACAGCAAACAUAAAAUCCUGAACUCCCAUAGAACUUUAUUAGUAACCACAAAGAACAAACGUGAGCUACAUGGGUAUCAUGUAACCUUACAUGUAAGAAAAAUGUCUAUGAUUUGUAAAAACUUUUUGGGUACACGAUAUUAAUAAAAGGAACAUGUUCAGCCCAGUUUGUAUGAGAUUGUGUAAUGUGAGACGGAGCUCGGUACUGCCUCACCUCACAGCUUAUGCUGUAAUUGAACAGAAAGUAUGCAAAAUAAAUG
rnacentral:lncRNA from 1 species